UAAUUGAAGAGUUUGAUCCUGGCUCAGAUUGAACGCUGGCGGCAUGCCUAACACAUGCAAGUCGAACGGCAGCAUGACGUGUAGCAAUACACGUUGAUGGCGAGUGGCGGACGGGUGAGUAAUGCAUGGGAAUCUGCC
rnacentral:rRNA from 1 species